rnacentral:rRNA from 1 species
UACGAAGGGGGCUAGCGUUGUUCGGAAUUACUGGGCGUAAAGGGCGCGUAGGCGGUGUGUCAAGUCAGGCGUGAAAGCCCCGGGCUCAACCUGGGAACAGCGCUUGAGACUGGCACGCUCGAGUUCGGGAGAGGAUGGUGGAAUUCCCAGUGUAGAGGUGAAAUUCGUAGAUAUUGGGAAGAACACCGAUGGCGAAGGCAGCCAUCUGGACCGACACUGACGCUUAGGCGCGAAAGCGUGGGGAGCAAACAGG